rnacentral:rRNA from 1 species
GACGAACGCUGGCGGCGUGCUUAACACAUGCAAGUCGAACGGAAAGGCCCUGCUUUUGUGGGGUGCUCGAGUGGCGAACGGGUGAGUAACACGUGAGUAACCUGCCCUUGACUUUGGGAUAACUUCGGGAAACUGGGGCUAAUACCGGAUAGGAGCUCCUGCUGCAUGGUGGGGGUUGGAAAGUUUCGGCGGUUGGGGAUGGACUCGCGGCUUAUCAGCUUGUUGGUGGGGGAGUGGCUUACCAAGGCUUUGACGGGUAGCCGGCCUGAGAGGGUGACCGGCCACAUUGGGACUGAGAUACGGCCCAGACUCCUACGGGAGGCAGCAGUGGGGAAUAUUGCACAAUGGGCGGAAGCCUGAUGCAGCAACGCCGCGUGCGGGAUGACGGCUUUCGGGUUGUAAACCGCUUUCGCCUGUGACGAAGCGUGAGUGACGGUAAUGGGUAAAGAAGCACCGGCUAACUACGUG